rnacentral:rRNA from 1 species
GCUACACAGCGAUGUGAUGCUAAUCUCCAAACCAUGUCUCAGUUCGGAUCGGAGUCUGCAACUCGACUCCGUGAAGCUGGAUUCGCUAGUAAUCGCGCAUCAGCCAUGGCGCGGUGAAUACGUUCCCGGGCCUUGUACACACCGCCCGUCAAGCCAUGGGAGCCGGGGUACCUGAAGUCCGUAACCGCGAGGAUCGGCCUAGGGUAAAACUGGUGACUGGGGCUAAGUCGUAACAAGGUACC